UUUUCCAAUAGACAAUAGCGAAUCCAGCCCAGCCCAGCGCAUGAGUCGGUUCGGAACUCUUCUUCCUCCUCAAUCUUCCACACUCAAAAGCCCUAAUUUUUUUUUUCUCAAGGAAGGAAAUGGACAGCAGAUUCGUUCUGCUUGAGCAAAGGCUUUACUCCUACUGAAGUUGCGUCCAUCGAAGGAAUUGUCUCAGAUGUCAUUUGCAUAAUCUUGACCUUAUUUCUUUCCAUGGGAUUUGUUUCAGUGUUAACUGUGGGGGAGGAGUGGAUGUUCGACGUUAAGGAACUUUAAACCUUGUACGAAGAAGUGUCUUCUUUAAGCUUCGGAGGAUGCCAUGUUAUGGGUGAGAUUUGAUGGACAACUGGAAGAUGCCAAAAUGGAGGAGAAAACGCAGGGUAUGGAAUGUUGCUUCAUUCACGUUAAUGUGAGUUGUUUGGAGAGGAAGAAAUAGGAGAUCUUUGAAGGGGUAGACAUGAGUUUACUCAGUUGAGCAGUAUUCUCUAUUCCUCAUCUGCUUUUGGUGCACCCAUGUAGUUCCUUGUUGUGUAGAAGAUUGGGUGGCCUUUUUGCGCAUCUUCUUGUUGGUUCUUUACUUUUCGGUACUACCCUUUGCAUACAUCCAAGUCUUUGUCCAUGUCAUUAAGGAGGCUUUUUUUUUUUGCGGUUAGCAACUUAUUCUUUUCUCCCUCAACUUUUGUUCGAUAUGUCCAGUAUCCACUGUGGGAGCACACAUUUUCUGAAUUGAUGUUAAGCAGGGAAAAAUAUAUCUUUAACUGAGACUUGAUGAAAGGCAGCAUGGAUAUUUGAGACUCAGUGAGAUUGACAAGGUAUGACCAGUAUCUCAUGGUUACAAUUUUGAAUCUUUUCUCUUGUCCUCCUCAACAUGCAGGUCAUUACUGAUAUACAUUUGGCUUUUACAUUUAGAGAAUAAAUGGUUAGUAUAAAUGGCUUUUAAAAUUUGAAAGUAGUGCAAUUGCCACAACACAAAUACUUCAAAAUGGCUUCAAAAUGGUUGCCAUUUUGAAGUAUUUGUGUUGUGGCGAUUGAACUACAUUCAAAGUAAGAAAGGGGAAUAAAGAAUAGAGUUCAUCUCCAUGCUGUGAAAAUGAAGAAAAUUUUAUCUUUUCCAAAUUGAGGAACUUGGUCUUGUCUAAACAGAGCACUCUGCUACUUCCACAUAGCUGACAUAGAAUAGGAGUUACCUUGUUUAGUCUAGAAUUCUUCCUGGUUAUGAAAGUCCAUAUCCUAAGAUCUCAGAUUGGUAUACUAUAUGACAAACGUAAAGAGAAGAAAAACGACAUUUGAUGCUUCAAUGACCGUUGAGUCUGCAUGUUGGGACGAUCUGCAAAAUUCUACUUCAAAUCCUCAUGAAAUUUGUCUUGCUGCUGUAUGUUUUCCUUUCUUCCCUUCUGCUGACAUCAUUCUUCUCAGUUCUCUUCGAUUAAUAUUUUUUAUGAUAUUUGUGUUUUUUUUCUUGCAUUCUUUAUUUUUUCCUCUUUUUCAGAUUCUUGCUUGUGAUUUAUGGCUCGUUGUUGACACCCAAAUUUUGACCCUCCUCGACAGUAAUUAAUUAUCGAGCUUCCUCACUUUCAAACGUUUCAAAAUAGUUAGUCUUAUAAAAUUUCAAAUGUAUACAUAUAAUUUCGCAAGUUUUUUUUAGUUUCGUCGCGUUUUGUACUUAUAGAUGGUAUAUGUUUUACGCAAUCAUAUAUACUCGUAUAUUUUAUGUUUAUCCUAAAAUCGUUUCAAAAAGAUCUUAUUUUGGGUUUAAUACUUUACUAAAUCAGUUUACAUGUGUUGAAUUAUUUAUUUUAUAAUUACGUCGAUUACUUUAUUUCGUUAAAAUUUAAGAAGUUUAUUUAAUUAAUUUAUGUUAAUUAAUUUCAUCUAGUUACCGAUUAUUUAGUCCGUUUGGGAAAUUAAAUGUGGCCUUUUUCUCAAACUCAAAUUGGGGCCAAUUUUGCGGCCCGAAUUUCAACUGCCAGCAAUUUCCCACAGGCCCAAUCCUUUUUUUUUCUUUUCAAAAUUUCCAAUUGGUUAAGUCCCCUUGCAGUGGUACGCGUUUUGUCCUUGCAGUGGUGAGAUCGAACCACGUCGCUAGCAAGGACAUGGGCAUCGAUCUUGAGUGUUCAUCUUUUUCCGAUUAAGUCCAGAUUUUUCAGGAAAAGGAUCUUAUCCAGAAGAGGGAUGAAUUUUUGAAUGCUGAUGGAAAUUCUCAUUUCUACCCUUUUCUCCUCCUUUCCAAACCCUAAUUUCCCGCUAUUUAAGCGGAGAUUUCUUUCAUUGUGAAAGAGAGAAGGAGAGGGGAAGAAAAAAGGGUGGGGUUUCUUAAAGAUUUUCAGGGAAAACAGAGAAAAUUACAUUAAAAAAAAGAAAUUUCUGAAAGGAAUUAUAACAAGAUAUAUAGCGAAAAGAAAUCGAAAGAUCUUAGAGAAAUUAGUGGGGAGUCGAAGCUUUGGUUCAGAGCCUUCACUUAGUCCCUCUGCUCGCGAAAAUCUUUUGGAGUUGUCGGAAGUCGUCUCAAGCUUGCUACUUUCCCAUUUCGCUGCACUCUAAGAGCUCAGCAUAAACUGGUUUCAACCAUCUGACUCUUCUAUAAAGCGAAGUGCCAUUCAAAGACUGAUAAGUUAUCUCCUCAAGAAUCUCUCUUGAAAACUCUCCCCGUGUGAGUAAUAGUUGCUAUCCUGAAGGUGGUCUCAAGACGAGCAAUGAUGAUAAAAAUGCUUUGGAAUUUGUGUCUGAUCUACUUGGUUCAUCAAAGAGUUCGGAGAAUUUACCGCGUUCUCAAGCGAUUGAGAUAAACCCAUUUCCUACUUCCUCUCUGAGGGGUGUUUGUGCUAAUCAUUCAGGCUUUGGUUUAAAAGAUCCCUUUGAGUCUGAAUCUGAUGAAGAACCUUUGCUUGACAUGGGUUUUGGUCACACAGCAUCUUUUAACGAAUUCAGGAGUUCAUUACCGCCAAUACAGGAAGAGCUGGAAGCUGGAGAUCAACACAGCAGACCUUCUGCAUCUGGGUGGGAAUGGAUCUGAGCCCUGUGCUUUUUCAUAUUCAUCUGGAUCUCUUGCUGCGGGAACUUCCUGGAUGCCAGAUGUGUCAGUUGUCCAAGAUGUGGACGAGGAAUUGGACUCAUCACCAACUACUUCAGUCCGUGACACAGAAACAAUUAGGAGUUGAGGUUGCAGAACUGUGCAAAGUAGAUCAAAAUAUGAGUACAGAUGAGAAAAUUGAUCCAGCCAAAGUCGAGUAUUGACUGUUUGGUUGAUGGACAUGCCACUCCUGGCGAGCUGCUGGACAUGACUUUGGCACAAUCCUCGAUUGGGAAUCGUGAUAACAGUGGUACUGGUUCUGUUACUUCCGGUUAGGAGAAUCCAUAUGGUAUCCAUGGAAAUGUCAACCUUGCCUGUAAAAGCUUGUUGUUCAUUGGUAAUGGUUCUGGCUCAGAAGCAGAAAAGGAGGCCGCCUACACCGUUGGAUGAUGAGGAAGUACCAGUUAGUAGUGUGACGCAUGAUCUGCAUUUGUAGAUCUGAUGACUUAUGUGGGUGUCUUAUCAAGCAUUCUUGGCGAGUUGCAAAAAUAUUUAGUUGGAAAAGGAUCAGUCUUUUCCUUUUAAUCGGAGAAGAUCACUAGUCCUUUGUCGAAAAAUUGUACUGUCUGACCGCAUUUGAUUGAUCAUAAGGGAAAAAUUAAUGAAAUGAAGUGCUUACUAUAGCAAGAGCUUAUAUUAAAAUUGAUGAAGUAGCAACUGAAAUUUGUAUUGUAUUAGUUAUACAGUUCCUUGAAAUUUGCACUGUAUCAAUGUCAGUAAUUCAAUUUGUGUUAUGAGAUACACUUGUAAGAA